AAGUACUAGGUGGCGUUCCGGACA
rnacentral:siRNA from 1 species